UCAUUUUGAGGACAUUUUGAAGGCAAUGGAUGCUAGUAGGGCUGAGCAUUAAUCUGUUUCUACCGAAACAAUCGACAAAAAAUUGGUAUAUAAAUUAAAUCAAUUUUGAUUUUUUGAUUAAAUAAACUAAAUCGAUUGAUGGUUCAAUUUAUUCGGUGUUGGUGGUCGAUUUUUGGCCUUAAUAUUCAAGAACCAAAUCGACCGAAAUACAUACUGUUAAUAUUUUAUAUUUUAAUUAUUUUAUUUUUUCAAAACCUAAUUCCUCUUUGACUUUUUCUCCCUCGAACUAUCGUCCUCGCCCUCGCCCUCUCCCUCGCCCUCUUUGUCUCGCUCAGGCCCUCGCCAUUGCCUACUCGAUCUUGACGCCCCACGCCUCAACCGACGACCACUGACAAUCAUUCAAGUACCAAACCUCACCUCUAUUUCUCUUCUGUCCUCUCGCCUCUCACCACCAACAAAAGGAUAUUAAUCUUCAUCUAUAGAUCUGCUUUCUCUUUCGUCUCCAACAAAUAGUAAUCGCUUUGAAGCUUUGUUCUUGCUUUUUUCUGUAACUCAAGUUAGCUGUUCAUCAUUAAGGUAAGAUCCUUUCCUUUUUAGGAUUUCUAAUUAUUUUCAGGCAUUUUCUCUUUCAUUUUCUUUUGACUCAAAUGAUGAUUAUAAUAAUCAAGCAUAUGCGUCUAUUUGGAAAAUUGAAGGGCAAUAUUUACUCAAUUUCAUUUACAUUGCAGAGUGCUACUAGAAUGUUAAUAUUAUGAUAAUUAAAAGAAUUUUUUUUUGUAUUUGACAC
rnacentral:lncRNA from 1 species